UACGGAAGGCAGCAGUGGGGAAUAUUGCACAAUGGGCGCAAGCCUGAUGCAGCCCAUGCCGCGUGUAAUGAAGAAGGCCUUCGGGUUGUAAAGUACUUUCAGUCGUGAGGAAGGUGUUAAGGUUAAUAACCUUAGCAAUUGACGUUAGCGACAGAAGAAGCACCGGCUAACUCCGUGCCAGCAGCCGCGGUAAUACGGAGGGUGCGAGCGUUAAUCGGAAUUACUGGGCGUAAAGGGCACGCAGGCGGUUAAUUAAGUUGGAUGUGAAAUCCCCGGGCUUAACCUGGGAAUGGCAUUCAAGACUGGUUAGCUAGAGUCUUGUAGAGGGGGUAGAAUUCCAUGUGUAGCGGUGAAAUGCGUAGAGAUGUGGAGGAAUACCGGUGGCGAAGGCGGCCCCUGGCAAAGGACUGACGCUCAUGUGCGAAAGCGUGGGGAGCAAACAGGAUUAGAUACC
rnacentral:rRNA from 1 species